GACGAACGCUGGCGGCGUGCUUAACACAUGCAAGUCGAACGGUGAAGUGCCUUCCUUUUUGGUGGGUGUGGAUGAGUGGCGAACGGGUGAGUAGCACGUGAGUAACCUGCCCCCUUCUUCUGGAUAACCGCAUGAAAGUGUGGCUAAUACGGGAUAUUCUGGGUCUGUCGCAUGAUGGGUCUGGGAAAGAUAUUGUUUCGGUGGGGGAUGGGCUCGCGGCCUAUCAGCUUGUUGGUGGGGUGAUGGCCUACCAAGGCGGUGACGGGUAGCCGGCCUGAGAGGGUGGACGGUCACACUGGGACUGAGACACGGCCCAGACUCCUACGGGAGGCAGCAGUGGGGAAUAUUGCACAAUGGGCGCAAGCCUGAUGCAGCGACGCCGCGUGAGGGAUGGAGGCCUUCGGGUUGUGAACCUCUUUCGCCAGUGAAGCAGGCCUGCCUCGUUUGUGGGUGGGUUGACGGUAGCUGGAUAAGAAGCGCCGGCUAACUACGUG
rnacentral:rRNA from 1 species